rnacentral:misc_RNA from 1 species
GUGAAUCAUCGAAUCUUUGAACGCAAAUUGCACUCUCUUCGGAGAGUAUGCGUGUUUCAGGUUCAGCCUAAAAAAAUAGACAUAGUCGCUGUUUCUCUGUGACAUUGGUCGUAAAUUGUGUCAUCUUAAACCGUUGGGUUCUAAGCAGUGUAAAAUUUUCUUUUUGAUUCCACGACCGUUUCUUAGAUUUACUUCUUACACGUUU